rnacentral:misc_RNA from 1 species
GAAAUGCGAUAAGUAAUGUGAAUUGCAGAAUUCAGUGAAUCAUCGAAUCUUUGAACGCAUCUUGCGCUCCUUGGUAUUCCUUGGAGCAUGCCUGUUUGAGUAUCAUGAAAUCUUCAAAGUAAAUCUUUUGUUAACUCAAUUGGUUUCUACUUUGGUAUUGGAGGUCUUUGCAGCUUCACACCUGCUCCUCUUUGUUCAUUAGCUGGAUCUCAGUGUUAUGCUUGGUUCCACUCGGCGUGAUAAGUUAUCUAUCGCUGAGGACACUGUAAAAGUGGCCAAGGUAAAUGCAGAUGAACCGCUUCUAAUAGUCCAUUGACUUGGACAAUACUUUUAUGAUCUGAUCUCAAAUCAGGUAGGACUACCCGCUGAACUUAAGC